rnacentral:misc_RNA from 1 species
UCGUAACAAGGUUUCCGUAGGUGAACCUGCGGAAGGAUCAUUACUGAGUGAGGGCCCUCUGGGUCCAACCUCCCACCCGUGUUUAACGAACCUUGUUGCUUCGGCGGGCCCGCCUCACGGCCGCCGGGGGGCAUCCGCCCCCGGGCCCGCGCCCGCCGAAGACACCUGUGAACUCUGUCUGAAGUUGCAGUCUGAGAAACUAUUUAAAUUAGUUAAAACUUUCAACAACGGAUCUCUUGGUUCCGGCAUCGAUGAAGAACGCAGCGAAAUGCGAUAAAUAAUGUGAAUUGCAGAAUUCAGUGAAUCAUCGAGUCUUUGAACGCACAUUGCGCCCUCUGGUAUUCCGGAGGGCAUGCCUGUCCGAGCGUCAUUGCUGCCCUCAAGCACGGCUUGUGUGUUGGGCCCCGUCCCCCCCCUCCCGGGGGGACGGGCCCGAAAGGCAGCGGCGGCACCGCGUCCGGUCCUCGAGCGUAUGGGGCUUUGUCACCCGCUCUUGUAGGCCCGGCCGGCGCUUGCCGACCCCCUCAAUCUAUUUUUCAGGUUGACCUCGGAUCAGGUAGGGAUACCCGCUGAACUUAAGCAUAUCAAUAA